GCAGAACUAAUGUUUAGAGGUGGUUUCUUCUAUAUAUAGAGGAGUUUUGGCAUCAGAAAUAUUCAUUCUUUUAGUAUGGGGUCUAUUGGUCUCCUGGUUGUUUUUUCUUUGGGGAUGGCACUUGGGUCUUCGGCCUAUCAAAUGCCGAUACAAGAGGAUAGGAGGAUUUUCCAAAGCCAGAAACAAUUAGCUCAAAUGAAUUUUGCAAUGUAUCAGCAAAUACAACUGGAUCAGGAAACCGUAGAUCGCCAAAUAGUCCAAAAAGAGUUGGCACUACAGAUGGCCUCUAAACAGUUGUUCGAAAUUCAGCAAAAGUUGGUGGAAACCCAACGGCGACUAUCGGGUUGUCAACCGCAGCAGGAAACCAGCUAUGGAAACCAGCUCUUGGCUUCGAUAUAAUGCCAAAAUUUUCUGGCGACCCAACAGAAAUGAGAAGGUUUUUAUUAUGCCAUUUGACCCACCAAUUCGGCAGAUUGAUGGAUCCACUUAUCUAGCCCUGAAAAUAAAGCAAUUUUUUCCUUUUCUUUA